GGGAUGCGAGGACUCGACGAGGAAGAGUCCGCAUCGCCUCUGGAACCGGGCCACGAGCUCGGAGUCAUGGAGAGACAAUGUUUUUCCUGACUCGUGUGCCUCACCUUGUUGCUGACUGAAACAAAACUUCGCUGUAACCACGAUCAAACUCCUUCACCCUCUCCAUACCGGUGGCAUCCUGAUGAGGUGCCAGCAGGGAGUCCUCCUCCUCCUGUCACGCCAUUUACACAGGGAAGUUGAAAACAGGGUUUCCAUGCAGUUAGCACUUUUUUAAAAAGAAAAAAGAAAAAAAGAAAGAAAGAAAAAAGAAACACUCAUUGAAAAAUGACAAAUUUUCACAUCUUUCAUUGCAGGAAAGAGAAGUGUGUCCAUACGUGCUCAAGAAGCCAUAAGUGAGAAUACAGUGAGACAUCUUCACAGACAUAGUGAACAGGUUAUAAAAGGAUGUAGUGUCACUCCGGUUCCUCUGAGAUCAUCGGGAGUCACACUUACCUCUUGAAAAGGAAGACAAAAAACAAAGCCUGAUAGAGUUUGCGGUAUUCUACCUGCACUAACACCAAUCAAACGCUAAGCUAUGCUAAACUAAAACUCAACCGUAUGGGCGUUGUUCCUCUGAUAAAGCAUGGACCUGCAAGAAAACACUGAAUUAACAUUUCAGUGGAAUCAGUUUCAGGCAAUUGAGUGUAACUAAAUAUUUGAAGCUCAAGUUCCUAGAGUGCGCAGACUUCUUCGUAUGAUUAUUACUGUGAACCAAGUCUGUGAAUGCUAUUGUUUCUACGAUCUAUACAGUUAUUUAUUUAUAAUUAUUAAAUAUGACAGAAAGUGGUCCCUUGUUUGUGGUGCAGACCCCUCGUACAGACUAAUAAAUGUGGUCCAGGGAGCAUGUAAGCUAGAACAGCUAUCGGACACCGAAGUGUUGUUGUUUUCUAAAUCUGAGCACUUUUUGUCCUUGCACACUUGUGGUAUCCCCUACCUCAUUGCAGGGAAGAAAAAAACAUUAAAAAAAACAUGGUUAUUAAACUAUACUCCCCUUAAAUCAGACGCUCAUGCUUGCCUCAAUCAACCCUCUCGACCUUUUUGCAGACUUCUAUAUGAUGCACUUUCACCCUCUUAUUUGACACAAGUAACGGGGUACAUCGUUUGACAAAAUGUUAGCCUACAUUGUAUUUAUUUCAGAGGACCUAGAAAAAUGUCGUGGGUUUUUAUGAGAAUAUGUGGUUGUUGUUAAAGUACCAAAAUGUAUUUGCACAGAGAAAUGUUCUUUUAUGUGCUGUUUUACAUACAUAAACACAUUUCAGUAAUAAAGGAAACAUGAACAUG